CGGACGGGUGAGUAACACGUGGAUAACCUACCUAUAAGACUGGGAUAACUUCGGGAAACCGUAGCUAAUACCGGAUAAUAUUUUGAACCGCAUGGUUCAAAAGUGAAAGACGGUCUUGCUGUCACUUAUAGAUGGAUCCGCGCUGCAUUAGCUAGUUGGUAAGGUAACGGCUUACCAAGGCAACGAUGCAUAGCCGACCUGAGAGGGUGGUCGGCCACACUGGAACUGAGACACGGUCCAG
rnacentral:rRNA from 1 species